GGUUCUGUAGUGUAGCGGUCAUCACUCCGGAUUCUGACCGCCACGUCAGAAAUCAACUCUUCCGGCAACCCCGGUUCGAAUCCGGGCAGGACCU